rnacentral:rRNA from 1 species
CAGCAGCCGCGGGAAUACGUAGGUGGCAAGCGUUGUCCGGAAUUAUUGGGCGUAAAGGGCUCGCAGGCGGUUUCUUAAGUCUGAUGUGAAAGCCCCCGGCUCAACCGGGGAGGGUCAUUGGAAACUGGGAAACUUGAGUGCAGAAGAGGAGAGUGGAAUUCCACGUGUAGCGGUGAAAUGCGUAGAGAUGUGGAGGAACACCAGUAGCGAAGGCGACUCUCUGGUCUGUAACUGACGCUGAGGAGCGAAAGCGUGGGGAGCGAACAGGAUUAGAUACCCCUGUAGUCCCUGUCUCUUAUAA